rnacentral:rRNA from 1 species
UACGAAGGGGGCUAGCGUUGCUCGGAAUCACUGGGCGUAAAGCGCACGUAGGCGGCUUCUUAAGUCAGGGGUGAAAUCCUGGAGCUCAACUCCAGAACUGCCUUUGAUACUGAGGAGCUUGAGUCCGGGAGAGGUGAGUGGAACUGCGAGUGUAGAGGUGAAAUUCGUAGAUAUUCGCAAGAACACCAGUGGCGAAGGCGGCCCACUGGCCCGGUACUGACGCUGAGGUGCGAAAGCGUGGGGAGCAAACAGG